rnacentral:rRNA from 1 species
AUGUUGGCUUUAGUUUUUCUUUUCUUUUUUGCAACCAGGGAUUGCACUUCCCUUGAAAAAUUACACAGUGCUUGUCCAUUUUAUAUGCUGUCAUCAGUUAUCAGUUAUGCAUGCCAGUUCAUGGGAGUCAGUUGUUCAAAACUAAACCAUUUGUCCGUCUUUGUAAAGGUUCCAGAAUAUAACAUUUCCCCCAUGUUUCCAAAUUCAAAAGGCACUAUAAACCAACUUUGCAAAGAGAGGAACACAAGAACACAGAACGACAUUACAGGAUCAUGUCACUAUCUCAGUAGUCUCAGAAGUCAGGCCAACACUAUAGCUAUCUCAGACAACCACUUCCCUGUCAAAGAUCCAGCUGAACUUGACCUUCCUGGGCUCGUCCUUCUUGGCCCUGUCGGCCGCCCUCUCCGCCGCGCGCCGCAUCCUCGGCGCGAGCCCGCAGACGAAGUCCCGGGCCCGCCGCCCUUCGCUGGAGAGCCCGCCCUCCAGCGCCUCCAGCUUCCACCGCUUGACGAGGAACUCGACGAUGUCGGUGUAGUCCUGCGCGGUGUACACGCCGAGGCGCUGGGCCACAGACGCGAAAUGCUCGAACAGGUCCAUGUCGCUGCCGUCGUGCAUGAGGUGCGCGGGCAUGGUGAUCCGCUUGCGCAUCAUGUCGGCGAUGGCGAGCAUGGCGCCCUCCGGGUCGAGCCGCAGCAGCUGCUCCACGAUGCGGCUGUAGGCCGUCUCGUGGCGCUUCUCGUCGGCGGCGAUGGUGCCGCAGGUGCGCGCCAGCACGUCGUCGCCGUGCGCCUUGGCGAGCCGCGCGGUGUUGCCGUGGGAGACGGCCGUCGCGCGCUCCUGGAAGCUCGUGUACACGAAGCCCAGGUACGGGUUGUUCUCCGUCCUCGGGUCCUGCAAUUGUUCAGCAUGUCCGAUGAGAUUGUACAACUAAACAGGAGGAAUUGA